rnacentral:rRNA from 1 species
AGAGACAGCAGCCGCCACGGUAAUACGUAGGGCGCAAGCGUUAUCCUGAAUUAUUGGGCGUAAAGAGCUCGUAGGCGGUUUGUCGCGUCUGCCGUGAAAGUCCGGGGCUCAACCCCGGAUCUGCGGUGGGUACGGGCAGACUAGAGUGAUGUAGGGGAGACUGGAAUUCCUGGUGUAGCGGUGAAAUGCGCAGAUAUCAGGAGGAACACCGAUGGCGAAGGCAGGUCUCUGGGCAUUAACUGACGCUGAGGAGCGAAAGCAUGGGGAGCGAACAGGAUUAGAUACCCAGUAGUCCCUGUCUCUUAUACA